rnacentral:rRNA from 1 species
UAACGGAUGACACCAGCGAUUAGUCGGUGUUAAUAUACGACCCGACUAGCAGCUUCCGGGAAACCAAAGUUUUUCGUUUCCGGGGGAAGUAUGGUUGCAAAGCUGAAACUUAAAGGAAUUGACGGAAGGGCACCACCAGGAGUGGAGCCUGCGGCUUAAUUUGACUCAACACGGGAAAACUCACCCGGCCCGGACACCGUAAGGAUUGACAGACUGAGAGCUCUUUCUUAAUUCGGUGGGUGGUGGUGCAUGGCCGUUCUUAGUUGGUGGAGCGAUUUGUCUGGUUAAUUCCGAUAACGAACGAGACUCUGGCCUAUUAAAUAGUCGGUAUAUCCAGAAAAGUUUACCGUACUUCUUAGAGGGACAAACGGCGUCUAGCCGCGUGAAAUAGAGCAAUAACAGGUCUGUGAUGCCCUUAGAUGUCCGGGGCUGCACGCGCGCUACACUGAAAGAAUCAGUAUGCGCUUUAACCUAGUCCGGAAGGAUUGGGUAACCCGAGCAAAUUCUUUCGUGCUUGGGAUAGGGAAUUGCAAUUAUUUCCCUUAAACGAGGAAUUCCCAGUAAAUGCGGGUCAUAAGCUCGCGUUGAUUACGUCCCUGCCCUUUGUACACACCGCCCGUCGCUACUACCGAUUGGAUGACUUAGUGAGGUCUUAGGACCGACGUAAAGGAGCUUUCGCGAGUUCUUUUUCGUUGGAAAUUUGAUCGAACUACGUUGUCUAGAGGAAGUAAAAGUCGUAACAAGGUUUCCGUAGUGAACCUGCGGAAGGAUC